rnacentral:tRNA from 1 species
GAGGAUAUAGCUCAGUGGUAGAGCAGUUGCCUAGCAUGCAAUAUCCUGGAUUCAAUUUGUGGUACUACAAAAAUAAAUAUCCCUUCCUCU